GUUCAGUGGUAUAAAAACUCAGCGGGUUGCAGCAAUUGUUGGAGACCUCAGCUACAAGGAGAUACACUGUGUAAGCUCUCCCAUUUGUCCAGGGACCGGAUGUCCAAAUCCUCGCUGUGAGGAACGGCUCCUCAGCGAAUGUGGAUCCAGAUGAUGAUGAUCAUCAUCAUAGUCUCAUAGAAUCACCAGGUUGGAAAAGACCUCUUGGGUCAUCGAUUCCAACCAUUACUACCUGCCACUAAACCACGUCCCUGAGCACCUCGUCUACCCGUAUUUUAAAUCCUUACAGGGAUGGUGGCUCAACCCCCUCCCUGCGCAGCCUCUGCCAGGGCCCCAUGACCCUUGCUGUGAAAAAUCUUUUCCUGAUAUCCAGUCUGACCCUCCCGUGGCACAGCUGGAGUCUGUUCCCCCCCUUGUCCUCUCACUUAUCACUUGGGAGAAGAUUCCAGCUCCCUCCUCUCCACAACCUCCUUGCAGGUAGUUGUAGAGAGCAAUAAAGUCUCCCCUCAGUCUCCUCUUCUCAAGGCUAAACAACCCCAGGUCCCUCAGUCGCUUCCUGAGUGUAGAAGGGACUUGUUCUCCAGCCCCUUCUACAGCUUCCUUGCUCCUCUCUGGACUCACUCCAGAGCCUCAACAUCCUUGUUUUCUAGAGAGGCCCAGAACUGAACACAGGAUUCCAGGUGUGGCUUCACCAGUGCCGAGUCCAGGGGCAGAAUCACCUCCCUGGACCUCCUGGCCACGUCAUUUCUGAUCCAAGCCAAGAUGCCAUUGAACUUCUUGGCCACCUGGGCCACUGCUGGCUCAUUUUCAAUUGAAUGUCAACCAAUACCCCCAGGCCCUUCUCCUCCAGGCAGCUUAUCCAGCCACUCUUCUCCUGGUCUGUAGCUGCACAGGGUUGUUGUGCCCCAAGUGCAGGACCCAGUGUUUGGCCUCGUUAAACCUCAUCCCAUUGGUCUCAGCCCAUCGGUCCAGCCUGUUCAGGUCCCUUUGCAGAGCGUCCCUACCCUCCAGCAGAUCCACACCUCCUCCCAGCUUAGUGUCAUCUGCAAACUUGCUAAGGGUGCACUCAGUGCCUUCAUCCGGGUCAUUGAUAAAGAUACUGAAGUGGACUGGACUCAGCACUGAACCCUGGGGGACACCACUGGUGACGGGACUCCAGCUGGAGUUAAGUCCGUUUACCACAACUCUUUGGGCCCGGCCAUCCAACCAGUUUUCCACUCAGGAGAGGGUGCGCCUGUCCAGGCCAGAGGCAGCCAAGUUUACUAAGCAGAAUGCUGUGAGAAACUGCGUCAAAGGCUUUAUUGAAGUCUAAAAAGACUAUGUCCACAGUCUUUCCCUCGUCCAGGAAGUGGAUCACCUUAUCAUAGAAAGCGAUCAUGUUAUUUUGGCAGAGAAAAGGAGUUGGGGGGUGGUGUGGUGACCAAGCUCAGGGACUUGGGACACAGGAGUGUCAGGGCAAUGCCAAGGAUAAACUCAGGGUGGGUGGAGGAUAGACUAAGAGCACCCUUGAAGAGAAGGGCUUGAGGAGCUGAUGGAUAAGAAGCACAAUAAGAGCUGACAAUAUGCACUUGCCACCCAGAAAUCCAUCCUGCAGAGUCAGGAGUCUGAGCUCAAUGCAGACAGGAGAAGCUGAUGAACAGUAGACUGAAACCUUCACACUUUCUCUCCAGGUUCCAGAACAUAAGGUUGUAGAGGAGCAACAUGGGUCACAGCUAAGAGGAGGGAGGAGCCAAGCACAAGCAUUGCAGCUGUGCUGGGAACAAGCAUUUUCUCCUCCCCAUUUCAUUCUCUGCUCCCCUUGCAGAGUCCUUGCUGGCAGCUCUGCUCCCUCAGGAGGGAUGUGGGGAUUUCUCAGACUCUCUCAGCCCUGCAGGAUGAGUGGUCACAGCUGGCGCCUCACAUAUCUCCUCCUCACUGCCUUCCUGAGGCAGCCACUGGGCACCCUGGGGCAGAUCACCAUCACCCAGCAAGAAGGACCAGUCACACUGAAACAGGGAGACACCUUUCAAACAAACUGCACCUACCGGACCUCCAACUUGCGUGGCUUGCUCUGGUACCAGCAGAGGAAAGGCCAGGCUCCCCAGCUGGUCUCCCAUCAGGCAGGAGCUGGCUCCAAGCGGAACGGACGUUUCACCACAUCCCUGAACCCCACAGAGAAAUCCAGCCUCCUGCAGCUGGAGGAAGUCGAAGGCUCUGACAGCGCCGUGUACCUCUGUGCUGUGCAGGACACGCUGGUGCAGGAGCUGCCUGGGCUGGGCAAAAACCUGGGGCAGGGAGGGGCUGGGGCUGGCAAGGCUGAGCCUGGGGGAAGGCUUUAUUCUGUGCUGCUUCUGCCCAAAGGCUUUGCAGAGGUGGCUUUUGGUUUCCACCAGGCAGAAACCAGAGCAAUGACCAACUUUUCCCUGCUGUUCUCUGCUGGCCAUGGCCACAGGACUGUGGGAUUGUGAGGAGAGACACCUGGAGCAGAAGAUGGGGAUCAUUCCAAUGACUGCUUCUUUUCCACUCCUGAGAAGGUUGGCAACACAGCGGUGAGGGAUGAUGUGCAAAGAAGUGACCCUGCAGGAGAUCCCAGCCUCCCCUUCC